rfam:Schistosoma haematobium scaffold317_18, whole genome shotgun sequence.
AUCUAACUGAUGAGUCCGAAAUAAGAUGAAAUGCGCGUCCUAGAU